rnacentral:rRNA from 1 species
AUGAUUGAGGAUGACUGCGCCAACAAAGGCAUCGUAAUCCCCAACGUCAACAUCAAGAUCCUGUCCAAGGUCACCAAUUACUGCAAUAAACACGUCCUGGCCAAGCCAGUCGACGACACCACUGGAGCCACCGGUGUCGUUGCAUCCAACACCACGGCUCCCGUCGCAAUUGCCGAGGACCUCAAGAACUGGGAUGCAGAAUUUUCCUCUUGGACCUCGUAUAGGUAUGACAUUCUAUCCUUCCACGCAUUGCCCCAACCCCCAUUCAAUAUGGUCCAACCUUGGCCACCACUAUCGAGGAGGAGGAAGGGGAGGCGAUGA